rnacentral:lncRNA from 1 species
UUGAUUCUGAGCUUCAUUUUGUUUAGCUGCUUUGCGAGUGUUGUUUCCCUUACUGUUAUGUUCUGUCAAGUUGUAAACUUGGGUUGAUAGUGAGUGUUAUUCCAAAGUCUGUACCUUUAUGUUUUCUGAGUUUAGGCUUUUACGAGUUAUUUGGAGAACUGAAGUUUUGAUGAAUUAGUAGCCAUUAAUCAUCUCAAUUGAAGAAGCUUUAUUGCAGAACAGGCUAGUCAUUUUGGCAGUGUUACUCUGAUAGUUAUCUUGCUGAAUGACGUUUUCUGAUAAUUUAUAUAGAGUUAUAGCUCUUGUAUUCUCCUUUGAAGUAGUACGUUCAUUCUCUAACUUGUGUUGUGAACAGAUUGUGGAGGUGAUGAUCCGGAGCUCAAACAAGAAAUGGAGAAGCAGUUUGUGGACCUUCUGACCGAAGAGCUGAAGCUGCAAGAAGCAGUUGCAGAUGAGCAUAGCCGUCAUAUGAACGUUACACUCUUAGAAGCUAAGAGAGUUGCGUCUCAGUACCAAAAGGAAGCUGAGAAAUGCAACGCCGCCACUGAGAUCUGUGAGUCAGCUAGGGAGAGAGCUGAAGCUUUGCUGAUCAAGGAGAGGAAGAUCACUGCUUUGUGGGAGAAGAGAGCUCGGCAAUCAGGGUGGGAAGGUGAGUAAAAACUGAUUGCCCCCUUCUCAUGUCAAACCCUGAAGUGUUUUUGUCUGAGAAACCGAAUUUUUAAGGGAAAGUCCUUUAUGUUCCACGUGUGUUCGGGUUGAUUAUAUAAAAAUAUAUAUUUAAAAAAAAAAAACAAAAACAAAACCGACGGCCCCGAACGCCCGGGCCUACUGCUUAGUAUGCAAUUGCGAGUUAUGUUUUGAAGUCAUGUUGUCGAACAAUGAAUAGUUUGCAAAAUGUUUUGAACAAAGGAGAGAGUUAAAAGCGAAAGCAACUGCAAACUUAUCGUGUGACAAUUCAAAGGGGACGAUUACUAUUACUACCACUCAUGUUCAACCACGAAUCUUUCGUGUACGAUGCGAUCUCAUUUUUUAUUUAAUUUGUGUCCCAAUAAGAAAUAAUUGUAGGCCGAUUGAGUCAGCGACAUGACAUGACAUGUUCAUCAUCCUGCCCAUUUUCUCACAACCACAUAACAAGACAAGAACCUUAAACUGUUCAUUUUCUUUUGAAUCUCGCCAAUUUUCUCAGAUAAGAAAACUACUGUUUGUGUAAGGGAUGAAGAAAUCUUCAUGGGGUUGCACAAUCUUUAUCCAGUUAUCUCUCUGUCUCAUCGUCUAUGUGUCUCUGCAUUUUGGUCACCAAUCUUUGUUAUCCAGCAACGACGGUGACAAUGCCGGAGCUCUAGAUCUUCAUUUCAUCUCCGUCUCCGGUGGUUUCAGGCCUCUUCAACGUCAAACUCGUCUUCUCCGAUUGGUGUGUGUUUCUUCCCAUCUUCUUUCAAUGAUGAAAGUUUGGUUCUUUAUAGAAAUCCUAGCCUCCUCAGAUUGAAAAACUGAGUCUUUUAUAUUAAUUAGAUCACACUCUUGGUUCCACCAGAAAGGAGAAAAAUGUUGAUUUUUUUUUUGCUUCUUCUUAGCAUUGCUAGUUAGGCCUUUACAAGUUAGGUUGUUGAUUUUAAGGAUAUUAUAUGUUUCCUUGGUAGAUAAGAGAUUAUUGUACUGAUGUUGUGCUGUUGUUUUGAUGGAUGAAGAUGGAGAGAGUUGCGGAAACUUACAAGGCUAAAUUUGUGGUGAGCACAAGUGAGGAUGGAGGAGGAGAUCUACUCCUGCUAAAUGUCAGCUCUCAAGCUUAAUCUUCUUAUUUGCUUACUUGAACUCUAGUGGAUAUGAACAAAAAGGUUAUGAUCUCUUUUGUUUUAGACAGUUUAUGAGUAAUGAGUGUGUUGGUGUUUUGGCAGGAUACUAGUGUUUCCUCUUCACUGAAACUUCCGUGGUAAUUUGAUUUUGUAGAACAGAUUCUUUCAGCUAAGUUACUUCAACUAUAAGACUGGUCAAUGUUAUGCAAAUUUAGGUAUACUACGAAGAAAGGAUCCGGGAGUUUCAGAGAGCACAUCGAGUUGCCUUUUGGUGGAUCCUUGGAUGUUGUUUUUGUAGACACUGCCUCGUUACAGAAGGUAGCAUCAGUUUAUAUCUGUGAAUCUAAAGGAAAUGAACAUGAGAUUUUUCUUCUGUUUUCAUACUGAUUAAUAAUUCCACCAUCUUACUGCAAUUCAAGCAAAUGAUGAGUGGAGGAUUGAAUGGCUCGAUGAUCAGUCAAUUAAAAGAACUUACAAAGAUUCUAAAAGCAGCAGAUGGAGACUGGUAAGUCUGCUACUCAGCUCAUAGACUCUCUUGAUCUCUCAAGAACUUGUGGCAAUACCGCAACAAAGCUCCUUUGUUUAUUAGUUGCUUACCUAAUUUUCUUUAUGGAUGAAACAACAUUCUAUAGUCGUUUUUGAUACAGGCGCAUUGUGGUUGGAUCAGACCCGUUAUUCGCAUAUACACUAAGUAAUGGUCCAGAGGAAGCCAAGGGAGCUGCAAGGACAUUUCAGCAAAUCACCAUCAAAUAUGGAGUGGUAAGACACUGAAAACCCCAUCACAUUCCAGAAUUUUUUUUUAUCGCCGUAUCUAGUCCAGUGAAAUGGAAAACAUCUGAGAGAAAAAACUUUGAUGAUUCAAGAACAUGUAUAUAAGCGAAAAGGGCUGUAGCAACGGAGCCAACGAAGAUAGCUUCACUUGCAUUAUGGUUCCUAAUGCAUCAGAGAACCGAGGUUUAACGAAUGAUAGUGAGAGGUAACAACUAACAACAUUAUUAAUCAUAAACAUUAUUAAUCAUAUCUCAAUAUCUCUAAUAUUAAAUGCAUAACUGUCAGGGAAAUGGAAGAUGGGUUUCUUCUUCACAGAGUUAGCUUCUCAGAGUUUGUAAGUGUACUUCUUUCUCUAGUUAUGACAUGUCCUCUUGACAAAAAGUGAAAUAAUGUCUUCUUUGUAUAUCAUAAAACAGGUUACAUAUACUAUCAACUUAUCAGGACAAGUCAUAGACACAAGAAUAGUUAAGCAAAAGGGCAAAGAGUCCAUCUAAGAUUAUUUUCAUAUUUUUGUGUGUGUUAUACCCCUCUCCAUCGUUGUAAACUCUGUAAAGCACCAACAUUCUUUAUUCUUCCUUUUAAGUGACCAAAAUACCCUUUCACAGCUCGGAGUCUCAGGUUAAUCACCGGAGGGUGAAACUGGAAAUUGCAAGCUAGAAAAAUGGGUAAUAUAAAUUUUCUAAAGGAGUGGCCUUUGGAUUUUUACACUCAUUAGUUUAAGUAUGAGGUUCUGCUCCCGGAGGGUCUCGACAUGGCGGCCAUCUAUGGCCUCGCCGUCGUUAUCUUCCGGUGGAAGCGGACGCCGAUGAUUUCAAAUCUUUCUUUGAUGAGCCACUUGAAAAAGUGGUGAUGAAUCAUUUAAAACAAUAUACUCCAUGGCCAUCACAACUACUCUGUCUUCCUCGCUUUCACAUGGAUUCCUUUUCUUUAUAUAUAUAUAUAUAAGGUUUCACUCUCUUCUUCUUCUUCUUCUUCUUCUUCUUCUUGGGAGACUAUGAUGAUUCUUAAGAAGUCAAAUGGACCAGACGUUGGUUGUGGUAAACACUCUCUUACAUGGCGGGGCUUUAAUAGCAGCCAUGGCGGAAGAGUUUUUAUCCUUCAAUCUGUCUGAGAAAAGGCGAAUCUGAGUCCUCCUCUGUGACAUGCAAAGUUUUUUUUAUUUCAUAUAAAAAAAGUAAAUUUUUAUUAGCUACUGUUAAAGCUUUGAUUCAUCAUCUUUGUAUUAUUGAACUAGUCAAAUGAUUUUUGUCAUCUCAUCUUUGGUUACAACUUACAACACAAAGAAAAUGGACAAAGCUUGCAUAUGUGUUGUUUUGCCUAAUAGUGUGUUCUUUCUACAUCUACCAUAGAAAAUGUGCGUAUGCAUGUGGUUUAGAUCAGUGUUGCCAACUAAGGAUUUCGGAUUAUAACCGUAGACAGGAAAGAAUGAACUUCAUCAUCUUUUUAUAGAUAGUAAUUAACAACUGUUAAAGCUCGCACAGCAUUAUUGGUUGCUUAAAACGUUAAUUGUGGGUCUAAACCCUUUUGUUUUCAACUGAGAGAAUGAAUGAAACAAGAGAUUAAAGAAGUUAACUUUGAAAAAUGUUGUGGUAUCAGGAUGCAAUUAUAACCUUUUGUGACAGCUCAACUAACUGAUAUGAGUGGGGCUCUGUUUUGAUCAAUAAUCUGACUCUGUGGGACAAUUAUUCUUUAUUAAAACUUGCCAGUUUAGAUUGCCUUGUUGUAUUUAUCUAUUUAUGUUCUCUGUUUUAAAAUUAUUAUCGGUGGGUGAGAGAACUUUGCCGUUACUACUUUAUUUUCCGUACUAAUCAAAGAAAAAGCUGGUUUCCAGUUUGGUUUCUUGUUUGGUAAUGAACCAGCUUACAGCUAUGUAUUGCUUAAAAAUAUAUACUGGAAAAUCUAGUGGUCCUAUUGCCAAGUGUGUUACAGUUCUGAAAUGUGGGAUGUGUUGUUCUUCCUAGUAUCAUAGCCUCAGUGACACUUUCUCAGUUAAAGGAUUAAUUUUCUGGAUACUAAUGUUCUUGGCAGUCACAUGUACCAACCUGUUUUCAGAACUCUGUGUAUAACUGGAUCUUAUAACGAACAAAUAGAUGGCAGAUUAUUGUAUAGUAAGGUGUUUGUUAAGAUGGGAGUCAGUUCUGUGUAGAUAUCAUACGUCUACUUGUGUUAGUGAUUGUUAGUCUUUUUUUGUUUGACAAUAGCAUUGUUGAGAGCAUAUGAAAAGUUAUUGUUAUACAGACAAACAUUUCCCUUAUUUAUCUCACUUUUUACCUCCACAAGCUCCAAAAGAGUUCACACUGGAUAACAAAAGCUGACGCAGACACAAGACCAAACACACAUCCUCUUAUUUAUUAUAGUCUGUUGGUUCGAGUUGUACUUUCUCAGUUCUGCACAGAGAGAGAUAUGGAGAGAAUGUCUGCUUGUUUAUGUCUUGCGUUCCUUUUAUUCUCUUUUGUUACAGAUGCAACGUAUAUCCCAAGACGUUCUCACCAUCUUUUAUCUUCGAGACAAAACAGGAAGACCUCCAAGUCAAACACAGAGUUGCCCUCUCACUUUGAGACUCGUUACUUCCCUCAGAAUCUUGACCACUUCAGUUUCCAGCCAGAGAGUUACGAAGUCUUCCACCAAAAGUACCUCAUAAACAGUCGUUUCUGGCGCAAAGGUGGCCCCAUCUUCGUCUAUACAGGCAAUGAAGGCGAUAUAGAGUGGUUUGCUUCCAACACCGGUUUCAUGCUGGACAUUGCUCCAAAGUUCCAGGCUCUUCUAGUCUUCAUCGAGGUAAAAGCUUUACCAAAAUCCCAUUGUUUGAAGAAUCUCUAACUUAAAACACUAAUGCUUAUUGUCUUUUCCUUAAUCCUUGCAGCAUAGGUUCUAUGGAGAGUCAAAGCCGCACAAGCUGGCCAAUACAUUGGGAUUCUUGAACUCACAGCAAGCGUUGGCUGAUUACGCUAUCUUGAUAAGAAGCUUGAAGCAUAAUCUAACCUCUGAAGCAUCUCCUGUCAUAGUCUUCGGUGGCUCUUAUGGUGGAAGUAAGAUUAAAAAAAAAGUCAAUAUUAGUUUCUUAUUGCUACAUUUUGCUCUUAUAAACGAUCUUCUGUUGUACUCUCUGAGACAGUGCUUGCGGCGUGGUUCAGGCUAAAGUAUCCACAUAUAACAAUUGGCGCACUAGCAUCCUCUGCUCCGAUUCUGAACUUCGAUAAUAUUGUUCCAUCUUCAAGCUUCUACGACACCGUUUCUCAGGACUUCAAGGUAUGUAUAUAUAUAUCAAACAUGGUUGUUAGUCUGUAAGCAUACUUAACUAUGAACUUUCUCAUUACGAGCAGAACGUGAGUGCUAACUGUUUUGAAGUCAUCAAGAGAAGCUGGGGAGAAAUGGAAGUAUUCUCCACCAUUAAAGAUGGUUUACAAGAACUCAGCAAAAUGUUCAGAACUUGCAAGUAAAUAAAAAAAUCUGUUUUCCUUCAAUGUUGAUUCAUUGUUUAGUUCCAAACAAUCUAAGAGAACGUUUUUGAUGAAUCACAGGACCCUACACUCUGUUGACUCAGCCUCUGGUUGGCUAGAGACAGCUUUUAUUGAAACAGCAAUGGUUAAUUAUCCAACACCUGCAAAUUUCAUGGCUCCACUGCCUGCUUAUCCAGUGGAACAGAUGUGCAAGAUCAUGGACGAGUUACCUCUAGACGCUAGCAAUCUAGAGCGUGCGUUUGCCGCUGCGAGUUUAUACUACAACUAUUCAGGUUCAGAGAGUUGCUUCGAUAUGGAAAACCAUACUGAUUCUCAUGGACUCAACGGUUGGGGGUGGCAGGUAUUCAUUAGAGUCUAUAUUUUCUCUGUUUCUUCUUUUACUCACAAGGGAAAAGAAGCUAAUGGAUCAAUGGGAAAAAAAAAGGCAUGCACAGAGAUGGUGAUGCCAAUGAGCUGCUCGAACCAUACCAUGUUUCGACCAUUUGAAAGUGAUGAUGAGAAAGCAAACCAAAAAUAUUGUCUGAGGGAAUACGGUGUCAAGCCUAGACCACACUGGAUCACCGCUGAGUUUGGCGGGCAGGUUAGUAUCGUCUCUUCCUAUUUUCUUUUCCAGAUAACAUACUUCAAGCUAAGAGUCUUUUUGGCAGAGAAUAGAGAUGGUGUUGAAGAGAUUUGGUAGCAACAUUAUAUUCUCCAAUGGACUGCAGGAUCCAUGGAGCGGAGGAGGGUGAGAGUUCCUCAUCCAUAUUCUUGGUCAUUCUUUAUUUUCUUUAGAACAAAGAGUUGAUGUUAAUGGCUUUUGUCAGUGUCCUGAAGAACAUAUCGAGCAGUAUCAUUGCGCUUGUGACCAGAAAAGGUUAACGUUCUUGAAGUAUAAGAGUGAAUUACACACGUCUGUUAGAAACAGGAGACUUAAAAAAGUGUUUCUUUAAAGCAGGAGCUCACCAUACGGAUCUCAGAGCUGCUACAAAAGACGACCCUGAGUGGCUGAAACAACAGAGGAGGCAAGAAGUUGCUAUUAUAGAGAAAUGGAUCAGUGAGUAUUACAAUGAUCUGGAACAAGAAGAACAAGCUAAGUGAUAAGUUCAUUGUCUGACUACCAAAAAAAAAAGAGAGUUCAUUGUCUGAUUGUCACGUGUCUCUCUGAGUGUCUGUAAUGAGUAAAAACUAUUAUCCAAUAAUAACCUUCAUUUGGAUUUUGAUUAAACAACAUAAGCUACAAUAAAGGGUGAUUCCUGAGUCUAACGAAAGUAUAGUCCCUUUUGAGAAGAAUAUAGAAUUCAAAGGGUAAAAUAAUAAAUUAGUAAAUAAAAGUAUAGCACCUUUUUUUCAGAAAGAUUAAAGAAUUCAAAAGGUCAAACCGUAAAUUCGUUCAGAGAGCGGUUUAUACAAUAUUACCGUGAGAAACGCACCACCGACAUCUGGACCGGACCCACUGAAACGCUGUCGUUUAACUAUUUCCCUCUCUAGUUGGUUUGGUUGGCCCCAUUCACACUCAUCAGCUCUGUUUCUAAAUCUACUUUCACACACUAAAUCGCCAUUGUUGCUGCACUUCCACCACUCUGAUUCAUUUCGAUUGAGCUUUCUUUUUUUUUCUUGCUAUGGCUCGUCGGUCUGGAGAUUGCAUGAGAUGCCUGGUGAUCUUCGCGGUUGUAUCUGCUUUAGUAGUGUGCGGACCUGCUCUUUACUGGAGAUUCAACAAAGGUUUCGUUGGAUCCACUCGUAAGAGCUCUGUUUGUCCUCCUUGCGUCUGUGGCUGCCCACCUCCUGUUUCCCUCCUCGAGAUCGCUCCUGGUAUGGUUUCGUUUUUGAUUGGAUCUGAGUUUAAAGAUUGGAUCUUUUAAUCAAGCUCCCUCUUUUAGAUUUUGAUGUUAUGUUGUCUCAGCUUGUGUAUAGAUUAACAAGUUGGUGUUUUUUUCUUUUUGCAGGGCUUGCAAAUCUCACUGUUACAGGUUAGAUCUUGAUUCUGAGCUUCAUUUUGUUUAGCUGCUUUGCGAGUGUUGUUUCCCUUACUGUUAUGUUCUGUCAAGUUGUAAACUUGGGUUGAUAGUGAGUGUUAUUCCAAAGUCUGUACCUUUAUGUUUUCUGAGUUUAGGCUUUUACGAGUUAUUUGGAGAACUGAAGUUUUGAUGAAUUAGUAGCCAUUAAUCAUCUCAAUUGAAGAAGCUUUAUUGCAGAACAGGCUAGUCAUUUUGGCAGUGUUACUCUGAUAGUUAUCUUGCUGAAUGACGUUUUCUGAUAAUUUAUAUAGAGUUAUAGCUCUUGUAUUCUCCUUUGAAGUAGUACGUUCAUUCUCUAACUUGUGUUGUGAACAGAUUGUGGAGGUGAUGAUCCGGAGCUCAAACAAGAAAUGGAGAAGCAGUUUGUGGACCUUCUGACCGAAGAGCUGAAGCUGCAAGAAGCAGUUGCAGAUGAGCAUAGCCGUCAUAUGAACGUUACACUCUUAGAAGCUAAGAGAGUUGCGUCUCAGUACCAAAAGGAAGCUGAGAAAUGCAACGCCGCCACUGAGAUCUGUGAGUC